UACGAAGGGUGCAAACGUUGCUCGGAUUUACUGGGCGUAAAGCGCGUGUAGGCGGCUUGGCAAGUCGGAUGUGAAAGCCCACGGCUCAACCGUGGAAGCGCAUCCGAAACGGCCUCGCUCGAGUCUCGGAGAGGAAGGUGGAAUGCUUGGUGUAGAGGUGAAAUUCGUAGAUAUCAAGCAGAACACCUGCGGCGAAGGCGGCCCUCUGGACGAUGACUGACGCUGAGACGCGAAAGCGUGGGGAGCAAACAGG
rnacentral:rRNA from 1 species